rnacentral:rRNA from 1 species
UACGAAGGGGACUAGCGUUGUUCGGAUUUACUGGGCGUAAAGCGCGCGUAGGCGGCUCGUUAAGUCAGGGGUGAAAUCCCGGAGCUCAACUCCGGAACUGCCCUUGAAACUGCAGUGCUAGAAUCCUGGAGAGGCGAGUGGAAUUCCGAGUGUAGAGGUGAAAUUCGUAGAUAUUCGGAAGAACACCAGUGGCGAAGGCGACUCGCUGGACAGGUAUUGACGCUGAGGUGCGAAAGCGUGGGGAGCAAACAGG